GCCGGGGUGGCUGAGUGGUUAAGGCGCCGGCCUCGAGAGCCGGUCCCCCUUUGGGGGUCAAGGGUUCGAAUCCCUUCCCCGGCG
rnacentral:tRNA from 2 species